AUUGAACGCUGGCGGAAUGCUUUACACAUGCAAGUCGAACGGCAGCACGGGUGCUUGCACCUGGUGGCGAGUGGCGAACGGGUGAGUAAUACAUCGGAACGUACCCAGUUGUGGGGGAUAACUAACCGAAAGGUUAGCUAAUACCGCAUACGACCUGAGGGUGAAAGCGGGGGACCGUAAGGCCUCGCGCAAUUGGAGCGGCCGAUGUCUGAUUAGCGAGUUGGUAGGGUAAAGGCCUACCAAGGCGACGAUCAGUAGCUGGUCUGAGAGGAUGAUCAGCCACACUGGAACUGAGACACGGUCCAGACUCCUACGGGAGGCAGCAGUGGGGAAUUUUGGACAAUGGGCGAAAGCCUGAUCCAGCCAUGCCGCGUGAGUGAAGAAGGCCUUCGGGUUGUAAAGCUCUUUCGGCAGGGAAGAAACGGCCUAGGUUAAUACCUUGGGCUAAUGACGGUACCUGAAGAAGAAGCACCGGCUAACUACGUGCCAGCAGCCGCAGUAA
rnacentral:rRNA from 1 species